rnacentral:rRNA from 1 species
GAUGAACGCUGGCGGCGUGCCUAAUACAUGCAAGUCGAGCGAAUGGAUUGAGAGCUUGCUCUUAUGAAGUUAGCGGCGGACGGGUGAGUAACACGUGGGUAACCUGCCCAUAAGACUGGGAUAACUCCGGGAAACCGGGGCUAAUACCGGAUAACAUUUUGAACCGCAUGGUUCGAAAUUGAAAGGCGGCUUCGGCUGUCACUUAUGGAUGGACCCGCGUCGCAUUAGCUAGUUGGUGAGGUAACGGCUCACCAAGGCAACGAUGCGUAGCCGACCUGAGAGGGUGAUCGGCCACACUGGGACUGAGACACGGCCCAGACUCCCACGGGAGGCAGCAGUAGGGAAUCUUCCGCAAUGGACGAAAGUCUGACGGAGCAACGCCGCGUGAGUGAUGAAGGCUUUCGGGUCGUAAAACUCUGUUGUUAGGGAAGAACAAGUGCUAGUUGAAUAAGCUGGCACCUUGACGGUACCUAACCAGAAAGCCACGGCUAACUACGUGCCAGCAGCCGCCGCAG